rnacentral:misc_RNA from 1 species
GAGGCAAGAUUCCCACAGCUUCGAUCUUUAACAACAGAACAGCGAACAAAGCUAAAAUGCAGCUUUAUUCACUUUGAUGAUCCCAGUUUCUGUGAGUGGAUGCGAAGCUUGAAAGUGGUGCCACCAGAACCAAGUUGAGUAGUGUUCUGCAAUUUAUUGACUAGUGUACCUUCAGAAAAAAGGGCUCCAUCUUGCUUUAGCCAGUGGAAACCUGUGUUCUCCUACUUCUAUCCUUUUUCUUCUCUGUUCAGUGGUUAAGGAGAUUUUUUGGAUGAUAACUUUGAAUAUCAUCAUCUGAUCU